UACGAAGGGGGCUAGCGUUGUUCGGAAUUACUGGGCGUAAAGGGCGCGUAGGCGGUCCUGAUCGUCGGAUGUGAAAGGCCUGGGCUCAACCUGGGAACUGCAUCCGAUACGGCGGGACUGGAGUGUGGGAGAGGUUGGUGGAAUUCCCAGUGUAGAGGUGAAAUUCGUAGAUAUGUGGAGGAACACCAGUGGCGAAGGCGACUCUCUGGUCUGUAACUGACGCUGAGGAGCGAAAGCGUGGGGAGCAAACAGG
rnacentral:rRNA from 1 species